rnacentral:rRNA from 1 species
UGGGGAAUAUUGCGCAAUGGGGGAAACCCUGACGCAGCAACGCCGCGUGAAUGAUGAAGGUCUUCGGAUUGUAAAGUUCUGUCUUCUGGGACGAUAAUGACGGUACCAGAGGAGGAAGCCACGGCUAACUACGUGCCAGCAGCCGCGGUAAUACGUAGGUGGCAAGCGUUGUCCGGAUUUACUGGGCGUAAAGGAUGCGUAGGCGGACAUUUAAGUCAGAUGUGAAAUACCCGAGCUUAACUUGGGUGCUGCAUUUGAAACUGGGUGUCUAGAGUGCAGGAGAGGUAAGUGGAAUUCCUAGUGUAGCGGUGAAAUGCGUAGAGAUUAGGAAGAACACCAGUGGCGAAGGCGACUUACUGGACUGUAACUGACGCUGAGGCAGGAAAGCGUGGGGAGCAAACAG